GACAAAAUAACCACACAGAAUCUAACUUCAAACCGUCAGCCAAAAGCGACUUGCGGUAUCGAUAAUUCACCAAUAUCAAUCGUGUAUGAGGGAUACGCUAAAAUAGAGACAUACCCGUGGCUCGGCACAUUGUAUUAUCCGUUAAGUGACAAAUGGCUGACGACGUCGGUGGUGCUUGUGUCAAAACAAAUUGCGAUCGGCGACGCGUUGGACGUCGACAAAGUGCCCAAGAUCGAUUUCAGGUCAAAAUCAAGAGUUGUGAUCGGUACGAACUGUAGUGGUCCAUCUGUCCGCGUAAAGGAUUAUUCCUUCCACCCAGACUACCCUAAAACCACCCUCAGUGCUAUAGCCUUGAUACAACUGGAAAAUGAUCCACUUAUGAUAGGAUUUCGGCCAAUAUGCGCACCGCCCUCUGCAUUAAAUAAUGCACAGUUCUACAGCAUGACACUUUCAAAUGGUAAUUUCGCACCUAAUUUUGUAUACGGCACUAUCGUGUAAUAUAUCAUGGAAGGGGAGCUUU